rnacentral:rRNA from 2 species
AAUACGACUCUCGGCAACGGAUAUCUCGGCUCUCGCAUCGAUGAAGAACGUAGCGAAAUGCGAUACUUGGUGUGAAUUGCAGAAUCCCGUGAACCAUCGAGUCUUUGAACGCAAGUUGCGCCCCAAGCCGUCAGGCCGAGGGCACGUCUGCCUGGGUGUCACGC